rnacentral:rRNA from 1 species
UACGUAGGGUGCGAGCGUUAAUCGGAAUUACUGGGCGUAAAGCGUGCGCAGGCGGCGGCUCAAGUCAGGUGUGAAAUCCCCGGGCUUAACCUGGGAAUUGCGCUUGAAACUAGGUCGCUAGAGUGUGGCAGAGGGGGGUGGAAUUCCGACGUGUAGCAGUGAAAUGCGUAGAGAUGUGGAGGAACACCGAUGGCGAAGGGCAGCCCCCUGGGUCAACACUGACGCUCAGGCACGAAAGCGUGGGGAGCAAACAG